GAUGAACGCUGGCGGCGUGCCUAACACAUGCAAGUCGAACGAAACUGAUUCCAUGAAACUUCGGUAGAUUGGAUGAAAGUUGAGUGGCGGACGGGUGAGUAACACGUGGGCAACCUGCCUCACAGAGGGGGAUAGCAGUUGGAAACGACUGAUAAUACCGCAUAAGCACACAGUACCGCAUGGUACAGGGUGAAAAGAUUUAUCACUGUGAGAUGGACCCGCGUCUGAUUAGCCAGUUGGCAGGGUAACGGCCUACCAAAGCGACGAUCAGUAGCCGACCUGAGAGGGUGACCGGCCACAUUGGGACUGAGACACGGCCCAAACUCCUACGGGAGGCAGCAGUGGGGGAUAUGUACAAUGGAGGAAACUCUGAUGCAGC
rnacentral:rRNA from 1 species